rnacentral:sRNA from 1 species
AUUCAGAGCUUAGCUUCUGAGGCUGCUACAACAACUAUCAGAGAAAAAAGAAAAAUUGUAUUAAGGAAACAUUUAGAUACAGUGUUUGAAACUAAAGACUGUUAUUCUUUCUUGGAAGGAGUGUUGGAAAGCUUUCAGGAUUAAAUAUUUAUUUUUUGUAAAUGCAACUCUUGUAAAUAAAAUAUUUUUGUAAAUAG